GAAUCCUGAGAAAGACGCGCUCAAAGAACCCAGCGAACAAAGGAGAGGGUUGGAGCCCACGCAAAACAUGGGUGUGAUAAAGCCACACGCGACCUGAGCCCCCACCCUCAGUAACUACUCUCCAGCGCCCACCGGGAGGAGGGGUCCGGGGAAAGGAUUGGCAUCCUCUGCUUCUGCAGAAAACAUGGCUACCAACAGCUUCUGUAUCCACCUGCGGAGGAGACUGACUGCUCUGUUAUUCCCCCAGCAUCUGUGAAGAGGCUCUGACUGGCUAAAGUGUUGGAAGGAGUCUGUAGCUUUAGGGGAAGACAGAGCCACAAGAUGGAAGGAGCUUGGAUGUCUGAACUAUUCCAUGGAGAAAAGCUGCAGCCAACGAAGAACACCUGCA
rnacentral:lncRNA from 1 species